rnacentral:rRNA from 1 species
UACGAAGGGGGCUAGCGUUGCUCGGAAUCACUGGGCGUAAAGCGCACGUAGGCGGACUCUUAAGUCGGUGGUGAAAUCCUGGAGCUCAACUCCAGAACUGCCUUUGAUACUGGCAAUCUCGAGUCCGGAAGAGGUGAGUGGAAUUCCGAGUGUAGAGGUGAAAUUCGUAGAUAUUCGGAAGAACACCAGUGGCGAAGGCGGCUCACUGGACUGGUAUUGACGCUGAGGUGCGAAAGCGUGGGGAGCAAACAGG